GAGUUUGAACCUGGCUCAGGAUGAACGCUGGCGGCGUGCCUAAUACAUGCAAGUCGAGCGAAUGGAUUAAGAGCUUGCUCUUAUGAAGUUAGCGGCGGACGGGUGAGUAACACGUGGGUAACCUGCACAUAAGACUGGGAUAACUCCGGGAAACCGGGGCUAAUACUGGAUAAUAUUUUGGACCUCAUGGUUCAAAAUUGAAAGGCGGCUUCGGCUGUCACUUAUGGAUGGACCCGCGUCGCAUUAGCUAGUUGGUGAGGUAACGGCUCACCAAGGCAACGAUGCGUAGCCGACCUGAGAGGGUGAUCGGCCACACUGGGACUGAGACACGGCCCAGACUCCUACGGGAGGCAGCAGUAGGGAAUCUUCCGCAAUGGACGAAAGUCUGACGGAGCAACGCCGCGUGAGUGAUGAAGGCUUUCGGGUCGUAAAACUCUGUUGUUAGGGAAGAACAAGUGCUAGUUGAAUAAGCUGGCACCUUGACGGUACCUAACCAGAAAGCCACGGCUAACUACGUGCCAGCAGCCGCGGUAAUACGUAGGUGGCAAGCGUUAUCCGGAAUUAUUGGGCGUAAAGCGCGCGCAGGUGGUUUCUUAAGUCUGAUGUGAAAGCCCACGGCCCAACCGUGGAGGGUCAUUGGAAACUG
rnacentral:rRNA from 1 species